rnacentral:lncRNA from 14 species
CUACACACACAAGCAUGUGCACUCAUACACACAGGCAGAAAACUGUGUCUGGAAGAAAAUGAUUCUUCAGCCAACAACUUCCGAGACAGUUUGAAAGGACACAAGAAUGAAGGAUCUUUUUAUAUGCGAAGUCAUGACCAGGCCUUCUAAACCAUCACAGUGAGCAGGAGGGGGAUUUUCUUUCUAUGAAGAGAUACAGGGAAAGAGAUCCUAUGAAAGGACACCUCUUCUGAGUUUGAAGGAGAUGGGAAGGUGAAGGAUUCUGAUGAGAGGUCCUUGCGGCAAGCAGCCAGGAACUCAGCAGCUGGAUCCUGCAAAGUGCCACAGAAAACUCUCCAGUACCAAAACCAUCGAGGACCACACCCAUGUCAAAAGGCAUUGAGGAUGCUGACACAGCAGCAUACCAAGCAGCUUAGGAGAACUGUCCCCAUAUCACCUGGCUCUGUCAUGGAGGCGUUC